CGUCCAGCAACUCCUAUCCCUACCUCCUCGCGGUACUGACCAGGGUACGAGUAACCUCAGGGAAGACCAGAUAACCAACCCCGGUGGGAACUUUGGUCAUAUGCUAACAGGGAAGG
rnacentral:ribozyme from 1 species